rnacentral:rRNA from 1 species
GACAGAGGGUGCAAACGUUGUUCGGAAUUACUGGGCGUAAAGCGAGUGUAGGCGGUCUUCUAAGUCGGAUGUGAAAGCCCCGGGCUCAACCCGGGAAGUGCACUCGAAACUGGAAGGCUAGAGUAUCGGAGAGGUUGGUGGAAUUCUCGGUGUAGAGGUGAAAUUCGUAGAUAUCGAGAGGAACACCGGUGGCGAAGGCGGCCAACUGGACGAAUACUGACGCUGAGACUCGAAAGCGUGGGGAGCGAACAGG